AACUUUAAUGCCGAAAAAUCCUUGAGAGUUUAUCGAAACAUAAGGAUAAUAAAGAAUAAAGAUUAAAUCAAGUAAUCUGCGAAAUCUAAAAAAUUUUUCAAUCUAGUAGUCCAUUUCAUCCAACUGAUUUUGGGUAGUUUAGAGAGCCUCAUAAAAUAUUCAGUCUGUUGUGAGAUUUCAUAGUCAACACGACAGUUUUACACUUUUUGAGGUCACAACGAAAAAGUAUACCGAAUUUUAUUUUAUUAACGAUCUAAAUUUUUUGAAAUAAGCAAUGGCUUCUCGGUGUGGACCUCCCCCAAAAAAACCAAUGGGUUCCUUUUUGAUCUAGAUGAGUACUUGCGGGCGAGCAAGGAUAAAAAAAGAAAUUCCCAAACUAUAAGGCGACUGAGGUAGCAUCCCUAGGUGGCAAAAUAUGGCGUCAGAUGUCCGAUGAGAAAAAGUCUUUGUGGAAGAAGAAGGCGGCUAAGGCGAGGAGCGAAUACAACCGUCGUCUUUAAGAAUAUCAGGACGACAUAGCAAAUGUGAAUACCAACGGCACUGAUGAAAAGCGUGUAAUUGAUCAACCAAUGCCGAACUUUUCCAAGAAAAGGACUUGUGUAUCGGAGCCGGCGAUUGCUAAUCCAUCUGCGGCUAUCAUUAAGUGUGACUUUUGCAACAAGGAUGGAACCACUCCCACCGAAAGUCAUUCAAAUUGUUCAUGUAAUUUUUAAACAUUACUCCCGUUUAAUUGUUAAUUUAUUUCAAAAUCUAACGUAACAAAUCGGCAAAUGCCCAAAGAUAUAUCAAGAGACAUAUGCUCAAUCAGUAGCUGUAAUCUCCAUUACAAACAAAUGUAGCUUAAUUUUAAUUGUUGGCAAUAUAUUACAACUGUUCACAAUGUGCUUAUGCCGACAUUUUAAAACAAA